UACGUAGGUGGCGAGCGUUGUCCGGAAUUACUGGGUGUAAAGCGCGUGUAGGCGGGAGGCCAAGUCUGUGGUGAAAUCGCUCGGCUUAACUGGGCGGGUCCAUGGAAACGUGGUCACCUGGAGGUCGGUAGAGGCAAGUGGAAUUCCCGGUGUAGUGGUGAAAUGCGUAGAGAUCGGGAGGAACACCAGUGGCGAAGGCGGCUAACUGGCCCAUUACUGACGCUGAGGCUCGAAAGCGUGGGGAGCAAACAGGG
rnacentral:rRNA from 1 species